rnacentral:rRNA from 1 species
CCCUUAGAUGUUCUGGGCCGCACGCGCGCUACACUGACGGAUUCAACGAGCUUACAACCUUGGCCGAAAGGUCUGGGUAAUCUCCAAAAUCCGUCGUGAUGGGGAUAGAUUAUUGCAAUUAUUAAUCUUCAACGAGGAAUGCCUAGUAAGCGCAAGUCAUCAGCUUGCGUUGAUUACGUCCCUGCCCUUUGUACACACCGCCCGUCGCUCCUACCGAUUGAAUGGUUCGGUGAAGCGUUUGGACUAUGGUUUUCUGAUGGUCCGCCGUUGGAUUACCGUGGGAAGUUCGUUAAACCUUAUCAUUUAGAGGAAGGAGAAGUCGUAACA